AAUGCGGGACUCUAAGAGGCCCCGUAAUUGGAAUGAGUACACCUUAAAUCGUUUAGCGAGUAUCAAUUGGAGGGCAAGUCUGGUGCCAGCAGCCGCGGUAAUUCCAGCUCCAAUAGCGUAUAUUAAAGUUGCUGCAGUUAAAAAGCUCGUAGUUGGAUCUGGGGCUUGAGGUCGCUGUCUAUCGUUUCGGCGAUGACGGUGAUGCUCAGCUCUGCUUGCCGGUGACUGUUGCGGUGUUCUUCACUGAGCGCUGUAGCAGCACGGCACGUUUACUUUGAAAUAAUUAGAGUGCUCAAAGCGUGCUUGACGCUUGAAUAAUGUUGCAUGGAAUAAUGGAAUAGGACCUCGGUUCUAUUUUGUUGGUUUUCGGAGCUUGAGGUAAUGAUUAAGAGGGACGAACGGGGGCAUUCGUAUUGCGGUGUUAGAGGUGAAAUUCUUGGAUCGCCGCAAGACGGACUACUGCGAAAGCAUUUGCCAAGAACGCCUUCAUUAAUUAAGAACGAAAGUCAGAGGUUCGAAGACGAUCAGACACCGUCCUAGUUCUGACCAUAAACGAUGCCGACCAGCGAUCCGUAGUGGUUGCUUUAUGGACCCUACGGGCAGCCUCCGGGAAACCAAAGUAUUUGGGUUCCGGGGGAAGUAUGGUUGCAAAGCCGAAACUUAAAGGAAUUGACGGAAGGGCACACCAGGAGUGGAGCCUGCGGCUUAAUUUGACCCAACACGGGAAAACUCACCCGGUCCGGACACCGUAAGGAUUGACAGACUGAUAGCUCUUUCUUGAUUCGGUGGAUGGUGGUGCAUGGCCGUUCUUAGUUGGUGGAGUGAUUUGUCUGGUUAAUUCCGAUAACGAACGAGACUCUAGCCUGCUAAGUAGUGUUGCUAUUGUUAUAUGGUUGACACUUCUUAGAGGGACAAGUGGCAUUUAGCCACGCGAAAUUGAGCAAUAACAGGUCUGUGAUGCCCUUAGAUGUCCGGGGCCGCACGCGCGCUACACUGGAGAAGUCAGCGUGUGUUAUCCAAGUCCGAAAGGACUGGGUAAUCCGUUGAACCUUCUUCGUGCUUGGGACUGUGGCUUGGAACUAUUCCACAUGAACGAGGAAUUCCUAGUAAUUGCAAGUCAUAAGCUUGCGUUGAUUACGUCCCUGCCCUUUGUACACACCGCCCGUCGCUACUACCGAUUGAAUGGUUUAGCAAGGUCCUCGGAUCGUGGCCGUAGGGGCACGCAAGUGUUUCUGCGGUUUGCGAGAAGACGACCAAACUUGAUCAUUUAGA
rnacentral:rRNA from 1 species